CCUACGGGGUGCUGCAGUGAGGAAUAUUGGUCAAUGGACGCAAGUCUGAACCAGCCAUGCCGCGUGCGGGAAGACGGCUCUGUGAGUUGUAAACUGCUUUUGUACGGGGGUAAACGCAGAUACGCGUAUCUGUCUGAAUGUAUCUUACGAAUAAGGAUCGACUAACUCCGUGCCAGCAGCCGCGGUAAUACGGAGGAUUCAAGCGUUAUCCGGAUUUAUUGGGUUUAAAGGGUGCGUAGGCGGUCGGAUAAGUUAGAGGUGAAAUCCCGAGGCUCAACUUCGGAAUUGCCUCUGAUACUGGUAGGCUAGAGAGGAGUUGAGGUAGGCGGAAUGUACGGUGUAGCGGUGAAAUGCUUAGAGAUCAUACAGAACACCGAGUGCGAAGGCAGCAUACCAAG
rnacentral:rRNA from 1 species